rnacentral:rRNA from 1 species
UACGGGGGGAGCAAGCGUUGUUCGGAUUUACUGGGCGUAAAGGGCGCGUAGGCGGCGUGACAAGUCACUUGUGAAAUCUCCGGGCUUAACUCGGAACGGUCAAGUGAUACUGUCGUGCUAGAGUACAGAAGGGGCAACUGGAAUUCUCGGUGUAGCGGUGAAAUGCGUAGAUAUUGGGAGGAACACCAGUGGCGAAGGCGGCUCACUGGACCGGUUCUGACGCUGAGGCGCGAAAGCGUGGGGAGCAAACGGG